rnacentral:rRNA from 1 species
UGGGGAAUUUUGGACAAUGGGCGAAAGCCUGAUCCAGCAAUGCCGCGUGUGUGAAGAAGGCCUUCGGGUUGUAAAGCACUUUUGUCCGGAAAGAAAUCCUUGGCUCUAAUACAGUCGGGGGAUGACGGUACCGGAAGAAUAAGCACCGGCUAACUACGUGCCAGCAGCCGCGGUAAUACGUAGGGUGCAAGCGUUAAUCGGAAUUACUGGGCGUAAAGCGUGCGCAGGCGGUUUGCUAAGACCGAUGUGAAAUCCCCGGGCUCAACCUGGGAACUGCAUUGGUGACUGGCAGGCUAGAGUAUGGCAGAGGGGGGUAGAAUUCCACGUGUAGCAGUGAAAUGCGUAGAGAUGUGGAGGAAUACCGAUGGCGAAGGCAGCCCCCUGGGCCAAUACUGACGCUCAUGCACGAAAAGCGUGGGGAGCAAAACAGGAUUAGAUACCCUGGUAGUCCANGCCCUAAAACGAUGUCAACUAGUUGUUGGGGAUUCAUUUCCUUAGUAACGUAGCUAACGCGUGAAGUUGACCGCCU